ACACUAGUGGGGAUAGUUCUGUGUAUACAGUGAUUAAGCACAUAGGUUCUGGAGCCAGUCUGUUUCUUUCAAAAUCACCUCAUUGCUUUUGAAGAAUCAGGGAAACCCCCAUGAGACUACAGGUGUGAAGCAAGAUAGAAGCAUCAGUGCAAAAGAGUACUGCAUUUCCAAAUAAAGCCACUCACAAUCUUUAAUCAGGCUGUAAAUUUUAAGAAAUCUGGACCAAGACAGUUUGCUCCAAGAGUAUCCCACAAAUGCAGAUCUUCAGAGUGAGAUUUUAUUAUUGGAUUGCUCACCUGUCUGUUGCAUCUUCAACCUUUCUGGACUACAGCACCUGCCAACUGACCCCCACAUCAUGGCUCCAACGCUGGCUUCAUCACAUAUCUUCUCUCUCAGUCCCUUUGGCUCUCAGGGUGCAAUAGCUUAACAAAAUUGCUGAUCUAGGUGCCUCAGCAUUGUUUCUUUGUCAUAGUCUCUGUAUUAUCUUAUUUUGAGCCAUUCUUUUCCUGCAAAGAUCCUAACUGAAUGAGAUAACUACUUCAUAAGCUAUUUGUAAGGUUUAAAUAAAUUAAUGCAUAUUUAAUACAUGAA
rnacentral:lncRNA from 1 species